rnacentral:rRNA from 1 species
AGCGAACGCUGGCGGAAUGCUUAACACAUGCAAGUCGCACGGGCAGCAAUGUCAGUGGCGGACGGGUGAGUAACGCGUAGGAAUGUGUCCAGGGAUGGGGGAUAACGCUGGGAAACUGGCGCUAAUACCGCAUAUGGCCUGAGGGUCAAAGCCGCGAGGCGUCUUUGGAGCAGCCUGCGUCCGAUUAGGUAGUUGGUGGGGUAAAGGCCUACCAAGCCUGCGAUCGGUAGCUGGUCUGAGAGGAUGAUCAGCCACACUGGGACUGAGACACGGCCCAGACUCCUACGGGAGGCAGCAGUGGGGAAUAUUGGACAAUGGGCGGAAGCCUGAUCCAGCAAUUCCGCGUGGGUGAAGAAGGUCUUCGGAUUGUAAAGCCCUUUCGGCAGGGACGAUGAUGACGGUACCUGCAGAAGAAGCCCCGGCUAACUUCGUGCCAGCAGCCGCCGCCG